ensembl:lncRNA
AUGCUUUCACCCUUCGAGAUGACAAGUGGUGAAGCUUUUCUCGUUGUGGCCAUGCUGUUACGCAUCGUACUGUCAGCAGAAGCUUCGGAUGUCCAACGAUGCACAGGGGAGAGACAGCGUGAUGGCCAGUUCUACUUCAACAUGACGUAUGACCUUAAAGAGGGUGUUCAUGACUGUGAGACCCAAUGGGUCAUCAAUGGAAUUGUGGCAGGAAUUUCUCAUGCUGAUGGAAAAACGGAGUGCAUGCUCCCACUUGUAAAUGCAACAGCAAACACAGCCAUCUUACAGACCUGCCAUGAAAAACUGGAAUUCCUGCUCAUCUGCCCCUCUGCCGGCAUCAACAAAAAGGAACCGUGCUCUUGUGAUAUCACUUCUCCAACUACACUUCCUGAAGUGGGUUUGCCUGACUGGAGUGUUGGUGUUUGGAUUGGAGUGAGUGUGUUUGGGAUUCUGUUGGCGUCUUUGAUUGUCACCAUGCUUUAUAGGAAAAAAAAAAGGUCAGAAUAUGUUCUUAGUGGCCCAGGUCCUGCUGAAGAUGUCUGAUUCUG